rnacentral:rRNA from 1 species
GUGUGAAGAAGGCCUUCGGGUUGUAAAGCACUUUUAUCGGGAGCGAAACGCGCUGGGUGAAUACCCCGGUGAACUGACGGUACCCGAGGAAUAAGCACCGGCUAACUCCGUGCCAGCAGCCGCGGUAAUACGGAGGGUGCAAGCGUUAAUCGGAAUUACUGGGCGUAAAGCGUGCGUAGGCGGUGAGUGAAGUCUGCUGUGAAAUCCCUGGGCUCAACCUGGGAAUGGCGGUGGA